AACAACUUUUGGCAACGGAUCUCUUGGUUCUCGCAACGAUGAAGAACGCAGCGAAAUGCGAUAAGUAGUGUGAAUUGCAGAAUUCAGUGAAUCAUCAAAUCUUUGAACGCACAUUGCACUUCCUGGUAUUCCGGGGAGUAUGCCCGUUUCAGAAUCAUUUAAAUCUCA
rnacentral:rRNA from 2 species